GUCUCAGUUCGGAUUGUAGUCUGCAACUCGACUACAUGAAGCUGGAAUCGCUAGUAAUCGCGGAUCAGAAUGCCGCGGUGAAUACGUUCCCGGGUCUUGUACACACCGCCCGUCACACCAUGGGAGUCGGAAAUGCCCGAAGUCUGUGACCGAACCGAAAGGAAGGAGCAGCCGAAGGCAGGUCGGAUGACUGGGGUGAAGUCGUAACAAGGUAGC
rnacentral:rRNA from 1 species